AUGGAGUGGGUGUGGAGGCUCCUUUUUCUACUGGCAGCUGCCCAAAGUGUCCAAACACAGAUCCAGCUGGUGCAGUCAGGAGCUGAGGUGAAGCAACCUGGGCAGUCAGUGAAGAUCUCCUGCAAGGCUUCAGGGUACACCUUCACAGAACAAGGAAUGCAAUGGCUGAAGCAGGCACCAGGACAGGACAUAAAGUGGAUGGGCUGGAUCAAUACCAACACUGGAAAGACAACAUAUGCUGAUGACUUCACUGGACAGAUUCUUUUCUCUUUGGACACCUCUGUAAGCACUGCAUAUCUUCAGAUCAACAGCCUCAAGAAUGAAGACACAGCCAUAUAUUACUGUACGAGAUACACAGUAUGA